rnacentral:tRNA from 1 species
GCGGGCGUAACUCAGCGGUAGAGUGUCACCUUGCCAAGGUGGAGGUCGACGGUUCAAAUCCGUUCGCCCGC